CUCUGCGACUCAGAUAAUAUUUAUCCACAUCCCCCCUCCCCAUAUUUCCAUUCCCUCAAUCGCGUUUUUCUUCCCCCACUAAUGUGUCACUUUCUGUAUCUGUCUCGCUUCGUCCAUCUCUCUCCGCCCUAAAGUUUGGCGGUUACUGACGACUUGUGGGCUUUUAGAAGCAAACUGCAGCCACGCGGUAAACACGAUUUUCUUAGCCGGAAUCUGGUCGGCCUAGGGCAGGAGGGUCCCUGGCCCGCGUCUGCUCGGGCCCUUCCGCCCGGGGCGCCCCGCGGCGAGGACAGCGGGACCCUUCCUGCCUCCCACCUGGGCCGCCGCUCGCCUCCUUCCCGCCCCGGGAGCUGCGCUGGGGCCGCUGUCUGCCCGGAAGGAGGGAACGGCAGCGGGUCCCCAGCCGAGCGGUCGCGCGAACUCCGCCGCCUCCGCUGGAAGUCGAUACUAAGCGGUUGGGCCGGCGCGGGCGCGGGACGUCGGGGCGGCAGCCAGCGGGUCCUGCACGUCUCAUCAUUUAGCUAAUCGAGUCGAAAAGUUUCUGUAAGGGCCAGACCCGGCAUCAGAUGGAAAAAAGCGCAACAAAUGGAACUGGCGGCUGGGAGUUGUUCACCACCACCCCCCCCUUCCCCCAGGGAGGUUCCAAUGAGACACCGGGGAGUGGAUGGAUGAAGCCAGGUCUUGGCCGAGGAAGGGUGAGCGCAGGGGCCGGCCGCGCCGAGGGAGUCGGAGAGCCAGCCCUGCGGGCGGCGGAAUCGAAAUCAGGCUCGUUUGGAGGCUACUUCAAGAAGACCGCGCAGGACUGCCCCCCGGGGCCGCCACCCUCCCGCGCGCGCACACGUGCACGCGUCCACGCAGGCCCGGCCUCCUAGGCCGCGGUGUGCCUCGUGCUGCGGCCCGCGCCUGCCUCUGGGCUGGACAACCGAAGCUGAGCAAAGGAAAUUCGGAAUUUGUCAAUUUCGGUUGGUUUGUUUUGUCCUUCCGACCUUCCUUUUGUAUAAUUACUGGAUUCCUCGCACAGUUGCAGCCGCGGCCUCGGCAGCCGGGGGGCGAUGGGC
rnacentral:lncRNA from 1 species